GUGUACGUUACAAUGGUUGUUACCUGCAGCUGUAUGUUGACAGUCAUUGCUUGUGUUUUCAGAGAAAAGAAGAAGAAAGGUGGAAAGGUGGAAGCCAAGAAGAAGAGUGGAGGAGAAAAGGAGACAAAGAAGGAAAGCGUAAAUGAAAGCUUUAAGAGCAAAGAGUUCAUCUCCAGCGAGGAGAGCUCAUCUGAAUCUGAGCACGACAGAGGCAGCAAACUCAAGGCUUCUGAGGAAGAGGAAGCCAGCUCAGAGGAGUCGGGGUCUGACUGAUGAUCACUGACAGCACAGAGACAUUUCCACAUCUCAGGUUUCACAGUGAAUAACCGAUGGCUACUCGGACCAAGACUUUCUACUGCUGUGCCUGCAAGCACGUGUUUUUCCAUUCAGACUGAGAACCUGGAAAUAGACGGGUAGCAUGUUUCCAGCCGUCAUCAGUAAAGCUCUCAGAUCUGUUCUGUUCUUUUCAGUUUUGGUAGACCGGCAUAAUGCAGGGAAGAGUAGAUAGACCUGCUUGUAGAGGGUUUUGCCCUCUUUUUCUUUUCUUUUUUUUUUUUGCCUUUUUGUUUACUUUUUUUUCAAAAUGGUAAAACUGCACUUCAGUAAAUGUUUGGUUAUUUCGAUGACAUGUUUUGUACCUUAAACUAUCAAAAUGUUCACUGUUUUGCAAUAAAAGGUCAGUGAGUGAUUCAGUGACCCUGUGUGUGUGAGUUUGUGUGUGAGUGAGUGUGUGUGUGUGUGUGAGUGAGUGUGUGUGUGUGUGAGUGAGUGUGUGUGUGUGUGUGUGAGAGAGUGUGUGUGUGAGAGACUGUGUGUGUGAGAAAGACUGUGUGUGUGUGUGUGUGAGAGCGUGUGUGUGUGUGAGAGAGUGAGCGUGUGUGAGAGCAUGUGUGAGAGAGAGAGCGUGUGUGAGAGUGAGCGUGUGUGAGAGAGUGAGCAUGUGCGAGAGUGAGCGCGAGUGAGAGUGAGCGUGUGUGAGAGUGAGCGUGUGUGAGAGUGAGCGUGUGUGAGAGCGAGCGUGUGAGGGUGAGCGUGUGUGAGAGACUGUGUGUGUGAGAAAGACUGUGUGUGUGUGUGUGAGAGCGUGUGUGUGUGUGAGAGAGUGAGCGUGUGUGAGAGCAUGUGUGAGAGAGAGCGUGUGAGAGAGUGAGCGUGUGUGAGAGCGAGCGUGUGUGAGAGCGAGCGUGUGAGAGUGAGCGUGUGUGAGAGAGAGCGUGUGAGUGAGCGUGAGAGUGAGCGUGCGUGAGAGAGAGCGUGUGAGUGAGCGUGUGAGAGUGAGCGUGCGUGAGAGAGCGUGCGUGAGAGAGUGUACGUGUGAGAGAGCGAGCGUGCGUGAGAGAGCGAGCGUGCGUGCGUGAGAGAGUGAGCUUGUGAGAGAGAGUGAGCGUGUGAUAGAGUGAGCGUGUGACAGAGUGAGCGUGUGAGAGAGAGCGUGUGUGAGAGAGCGAGCGUGUGAGAGUGAGCGUGUGAGAGAGAGAGCGUGUGUGAGAGAGUGAGCGUGUGAGAGUGAGCGUGUGUGAGAGCGUGUGAGAGAGCACGUGUGAGAGAGAGCGUGCGUGAGCGAGUGAGCGUGCGUGAGAGAGAGAGCAUGCGUGAGAGAGAGUGAGCGUGUGAGAGUGAACGUGUGAGAGAGUGAACGUGUGAGAGAGUGAGCGUGUCUGAGAGAGUGAGCGUGUGUGUGUGAGAGAGCGAGAGUGAGCGUGUGUGAGAGAGUGAGCGUGAGUGUGAGAGAGUGUGUGUGAGUGAGCGUGUGUGAGAGAGUGUGAGUGUGUGAGAGUGAGCGUGUGUGAGAGAGUGUGAGCGUGUGAGAGAGCGAGCGUGUGAGAGAGCAUGCGUGUGUGAGAGAGAGUGAGCGUGAGAGAGAGAGUGAGCGUGUGUGAGAGCGAGCGUGUGUGAGAGCGUGUGUGAGAGAGUGAGCGUGGGAGAGUGAGCGUGUGUGAGAGCGUGUGAGAGAGUGAGCGUGUGUGUGAGAGUGAGCGUGUGUGAGAGAGUGAGCGUGGGAGAGUGAGCGUGUGUGAGAGCGUGUGAGAGAGUGAGCGUGUGUGAGAGUGUGAGUGAGAGAGAGAGCGUGAGCGCAUGUGAGAGAGAGCGUGUGAGAGAGAGAGCGUGUGUGAGAGUGAGCGUGUGUGUGAGAGUGAGCGUGUGUGAGAGAGUGAGCGUGUGUGAGAGAGUGUGCGUGUGUGAGAGUGAGCGUGUGAGAGAGUGAGCGUGCGUGUAUGAGAGACAGCGAGCAUGUGAGAGUGUGCGUGUGUGAGAGUGAGCGUGUGAGAGAGUGAGCGUGUGUGAGAGACAGCGAGCGUGUGAGAGAGUGCAUGUGUGAGAGUGAGCGUGUGUGAGUGUGAGAGAGAGAGUGAGCGUGAGAGAGUGUGAGCGUGUGAGAGAGAGAGUGAGCGUGUGAGAGAGUGUGUGAGAGAGAGCGUGUGUGAGAGAGAGUGAGCGUGUGAGAGAGAGUGAGCGUGUGUGAGAGUGAGCGUGCGUGUGAGAGAGCGUGUGUGAGAGAGAGCGUGUGAGAGAGUGAGCGUGUGUGAGAGCGUGUGAGAGAGCGCGUGUGAGAGAGAGCGAGCAUGCGUGAGAGAGCGAGCGUGUGUGUGAGAGCGUGCGUGAGCGAGUGAGCGUGCGUGCGUGAGAGAGUGAGCGUGCAUGAGAGCGUGCGUGAGAGAGAGUGAGCGUGUGUGUGUGAGAGUGAGCGUGUGUGUGAGAGCGAGCGUGAGAGAGAGUGAGCGUGAGAGAGAGUGAGCGUGUGUGAGAGUGAGCGUGUGUGAGAGAGAGCGUGUGUGAGAGCGUGAGUGAGAGAGCGUGUGAGAGAGAGCGUGUGUGAGUGUGAGAGUGAGCGUGUGUGAGAGAGUGUGAGAGAGCGAGCGCGUGUGAGAGAGCGUGCGUGUGUGUGUGAGAGUGCGUGUGAGAGAGAGAGUGAGCGUGAGUGAGCAUGUGUGAGAGAGUGUGAGUGUGAGAGAGUGAGCGUGUGUGAGAGAGUGUGUGAGAGAGUGAGCGUGUGUGUGAGAGUGAGCGUGUGAGAGUGAGCGUGUGAGAGAGUGAGCGUGUGUGAGAGAGAGCGUGAGUGAGAGAGAGAGAGCGUGUGUGAGAGAGCGUGUGAGAGAGCGUGUGUGAGAGAGAGCGUGUGUGAGAGCGUGAGUGAGAGAGCGUGUGAGAGAGAGCGUGUGUGAGUGUGAGAGUGAGCGUGUGUGAGAGAGUGUGAGCGUGUGAGAGAGCGAGCGUGUGUGAGAGAGAGUGCGUGUGUGUGUGAGAGUGCGUGUGAGAGAGAGAGUGAGCGUGAGUGAGCAUGUGUGAGAGAGUGUGAGUGUGAGAGAGUGAACGUGUGUGAGAGAGUGUGUGAGAGAGUGAGCGUGUGUGUGAGAGUGAGCGUGUGAGAGUGAGCGUGUGAGAGAGUGAGCGUGUGUGAGAGAGAGCGUGUGUGAGAGAGAGCGUGUGUGAGAGAGAGAGCGCGUGUGAGAGAGAGCGCGUGUGAGAGUGAGCGUGUGUGAGAGAGAGCGUGAGUGAGAGAGCGUGUGAGAGAGAGCGUGUGUGAGUGUGAGAGUGAGCGUGUGUGAGAGUGUGAGCGUGUGAGAGAGCGAGCGCGUGUGAGAGAGCGUGCGUGUGUGUGUGAGAGUGUGCGUGUGUGUGUGAGAGUGUGCGUGUGAGAGAGAGAGUGAGCGUGAGUGAGCAUGUGUGAGAGAGUGUGAGAGAGUGAACGUGUGUGAGAGAGUGUGUGUGAGAGUGAGCAUGUGAGAGUGAGCGUGAGUGUGAGCGUGUGAGAGAGUGAGCGUGUGAGAGAGUGAGCGUGUGUGAGAGUGAGCGUGUGUGAGAGAGUGUGAGUGAGAGAGAGAGAGCGUGUGUGAGAGAGAGUGUGAGAGAGCGUGUGUGAGAGAGAGCGUGUGUGAGAGAGAGAGCGCGUGUGAGAGAGUGAGCGCGUGUGAGAGAGUGUGAGCGCGUGUGAGAGAGAGUGAGCGUGUGAGAGAGAGUGAGCGUGUGAGAGAGAGAGCGUAUGUGAGCGUGAGUGUGAGAGCGUGUGAGAGAGAGCGUGUGUGAGAGAGAGCGUGUGUGUGAGAGAGCGUGCGUGUGUGAGAGAGAGUGUGAGUGUGUGAGAGAGUGAGCAUGUGUGAGAGAGAGUGUGAGCGUGUGAGAGAGAGUGCGUGUGUGAGAGAGAGUGUGAGCGUGUGAGAGAGAGCGUGUGUGAGAGAGAGCGAGCAUGUGAGAGAGCGUGCGUGUGUGAGAGUGAGCGUGCGAGUGAGCGUGCGUGAGAGA
rnacentral:lncRNA from 1 species